CCUACGGGAGGCAGCAGUAGGGAAUCUUCGUCAAUGGGCGCAAGCCUGAACGAGCGAAGCCGCGUGAGUGAAGAAGGCCUUCGGGGCGGAAAGCUCUGUUGCGGGGGAAAAAAGGCAGCAUCAGGAAAUGGGUGCUGACUGAUGGUGCCCCGCCAGAAAGUCACGGCUAACUACGUGCCAGCAGCCGCGGCAAUACGUAGGUGGCGAGCGUUAUCCGGCAUGAGUGGGCGGAAAGGGUGCGCAGUCGGUCCUGCAAGUCUGGAGUGAAACGCAUGAGCUCAACUCAUGCAUGGCUUUUGAAACUGGGGGACUGGAGCGCAGGAGAGGUCGGUGGAACUCCAUGUGUAGCGGUGAAAUGCGUAGAUAUUUGGAAGAACACCAGUGGCGAAGGCGGCCGCCUGGCCUGUUACUGACGCUGAGGCACGAAAGCGUGGGGAGCAAAUAGGAUUAGAUACCCUGGUAGUC
rnacentral:rRNA from 1 species